ACUCAAAUGAAUAGACGGGGACCCGCACAAGCGGUGGAGCAUGUUGCUUAAUUCGACGCAACGCGAAGAACCUUACCGGGGCUUGACGUGUACUGGAAGUGUGCAGAGAUGCAUUACGCUCUUCGGAGCCGGUACAUUAGGUGCUGCACGGCUGUCGUCAGCUCGUGCCGUGAGGUGUUGGGUUAAGUCCUCUAACGAGCGCAACCCCUUUCCGUAGUUGCCAUCAGGUGAAGCUGGGAACUCUACGGACACUGCCGGUGACAAACCGGAGGAAGGUGGGGAUGACGUCAAGUCAUCGUGGCCCUUACGUCCCGGGCUGCAAACGUGCUACAAUGGCUGGUACAAAGGGGAGCGAUACCGCGAGGUGGAGCAAAUCCCAAAAAACCGGUCUCAGUUCAGAUUGCAGUUUGCAACUCGACUGCAUGAAGUCGGAAUCGCUAGUAAUCGCGGAUCAGCAUGCCGCGGUGAAUACGUUCCCGGGUCUUGUACACACCGCCCGU
rnacentral:rRNA from 1 species